CGCUGUAAGCUCUAAGACAGGCAUCUCAG
rnacentral:piRNA from 1 species